CAGUCGCCGCGGUAAUACGAAGGGGGCUAGCGUUGUUCGGAAUUACUGGGCGUAAAGCGCACGUAGGCGGAUAUUUAAGUCAGGGGUGAAAUCCCAGAGCUCAACUCUGGAACUGCCUUUGAUACUGGGUAUCUUGAGUAUGGAAGAGGUGAGUGGAAUUCCGAGUGUAGAGGUGAAAUUCGUAGAUAUUCGGAGGAACACCAGUGGCGAAGGCGGCUCACUGGUCCAUUACUGACGCUGAGGUGCGAAAGCGUGGGGAGCGAACAGGAUUAGAUACCCCCGUAGUCCCUGUCUCUUAUAC
rnacentral:rRNA from 1 species